UCUACCGAGUAGUGGGGGAUAGCCAUUGGAAACGAUGAUUAAUACCGCAUAUAUCCUACGGGGGAAAGCAGGGGACCUUCGGGCCUUGCGCUAUUCGAUGAGCCUGAGUGAGAUUAGCUAGUUGGUGGGGUAAAGGCCUACCAAGGCGACGAUCUCUAGCUGGUCUGAGAGGAUGAUCAGCCACACUGGGACUGAGACACGGCCCAGACUCCUACGGGAGGCAGCAGUGGGGAAUAUUGCACAAUGGACGAAAGUCUGAUGCAGCCAUGCCGCGUGUGUGAAGAAGGCCUUCGGGUUGUAAAGCACUUUCAGCGAGGAGGAAAGGUCAGUAAGUAAUAUUUGCUGGCUGUGACGUUACUCGCAGAAGAAGCACCGGCUAAUUUAGUGCCAGCAGCCGCGGUAAUACUAAAGGUGCAAGCGUUAAUCGGAAUUACUGGGCGUAAAGCGCGCGUAGGUGGUUUGUUAAGUUGGAUGUGAAAGCCCAGGGCUCAACUUUGGAACUGCAUUCAAAACUGACUCACUAGAGUACGAGAGAGGUUAGUGGAAUUUCCUGUGUAGCGGUGAAAUGCGUAGAGAUGGGAAGGAACACCAGUGGCGAAGCGACUGACUGGCUCGAU
rnacentral:rRNA from 1 species